rnacentral:rRNA from 1 species
UACGUAGGGCGCAAGCGUUAUCCGGAAUUAUUGGGCGUAAAGGGCUCGUAGGCGGUUUGUCACGUCGGGAGUGAAAACUCAGGGCUCAACCCUGAGCGUGCUUCCGAUACGGGCAGACUAGAGGUAUGCAGGGGAGAACGGAAUUCCUGGUGUAGCGGUGGAAUGCGCAGAUAUCAGGAGGAACACCGGUGGCGAAGGCGGUUCUCUGGGCAUUACCUGACGCUGAGGAGCGAAAGCAUGGGGAGCGAACAGG